rnacentral:tRNA from 1 species
GGGUCGGUAGCUCAGUUGGUAUAGCAGUGGACUCUUAAUCCAUUGGUCCAGGGUUCGAGUCCCUGCCGACCCACCA